rnacentral:lncRNA from 1 species
AUGAAAUGUAUACACAAAAGUCGGCAUGAACUUAUGGGAUGACCUAAUAUUAGGACGAAACAGAGUAAAAUAAUCAACAGCGAAAAUGGCCACGUUAAUAUUUACAAUGGUUUCCAUAUAUACUUAUAAGAAAGUUAUUUUACUGUUUACGAAGUAUAAUUAACGAUUUCUUUACGGCAACCGAUUGUAACUUUAUACUUUACAUCCUGACCGGAAAGACUAAGAAUCUGACCGUACAUAAUGCUUACUAAUAUAUAUGCAUUUGCAGAUAGUCAUAAUCUUCGUCCAAUAAAAGUAAUCGGUUUUAUAAGUUUCACGAGGCAUCAAUGAUAAAGGUCGUGAAAUGUACAUUGAAAAACUCUUUGUUAAUGAUGAAUCACCAUUAGACUGAGAUACUUUCCUCUAUAUCAGGAAUCAAGCUUACACAUUUUCAUCAAUUUCCAUUAAACGAUUUUCACAUGCUAAUGUCGGACAACCACUGGUGCGCGUUCUGAAUGAACUCAUUAUGCAUAGUACCACGAGCCCAUACACCAUUUCAAUUCAACAGUGCUGUCUAUUCACGAAAUACUACAGCGUCUGAAGUCGAUUCUAAAAGCCAAAAGGCUUAAGCACGAAUAGGUGCGCCGAAAUAAUGAAUAAAAGGAUUCAUCUGCAAGAAGAGAAGUCUUCGACGAUUCGACACGAAUUGAGGAAGUUCAAAUGCAGACAGACGGGACACGAUGUCAAGAUUUUUGACAGAGGCACUAAACAGCGGGGUGCACGUGUAGAUCGAAACCAGACUCCGCGAUAAUAAACUACAAAUACUAUUUUUAUAAAGAAGUCGUUACACAUGUAUCAACCGAACUGAAAUAUGCUGGGAACUUUCCUGACAACCUAUCCUAAUUUUCUCUUAUAGAAAGAACUAAUAAUGCUUCGCUUUAAUAUGCUGUAUGAUUAAUAAUAUGCUUACGACAUAGAGUAAAUUCAAAUAAUACAGAACAUAACAGGUACAUAUUUUAACACGGGAUCUUUAUUUAAAAUAAAAUCCUAACCACGAAAAUAUUUUAUCACCGCGGUUCCACGUUUCCGACAAGUCCUUCCGUCUUUUAACAGCGACACAGUCAUACGUUAAGGAAAUAUCAUUAUCACGUCGAAAUCCACGAUGUUUCGUGUUAUCGUGCUAUCGUCGGAUAAGAUUUUCUUUGUGUUUUUUCUCACAAAUUCAAAAUAACUUUAAAUAUAACU